rnacentral:rRNA from 1 species
CCUACGGGAGGCAGCAGUGGGGGAUAUUGCACAAUGGGGGAAACCCUGAUGCAGCGACGCCGCGUGUGGGAAGACGGUCCUCUGGAUUGUAAACCACUGUCGCCAGGGACGAAGAUGACGGUACCGGGGGACGAAGCUCCGGCUAACUAAGUACCAGCAGCCGAGGUAAUACGUAGGGAGCGAGCGUUUUCCGGAAUUACUGGGUGUAAAGGGAGCGUAGGCGGGACUGCAAGUUGGGUGUCAAAUCUACCGGCUCAACCGGUAGCCGCACUCAAAACUGCAGUUCUUGAGUGAAGUAGAGGCACGCGGAAUUCCUAGUGUAGCGGUGAAAUGCGUAGAUAUUAGGAGGAACACCAGUGGCGAAGGCGGCCUGCUGGGCUUUUACUGACGCUGAGGCUCGAAAGUGUGGGGAGCAAACAGGAUUAGAUACCCCAGUAGUC